rnacentral:rRNA from 1 species
UGCCAGCAGCCGCGGUAAGACGGGAGAUGCAAGCGUUAUUCGGAUUUAUUGGGCGUAAAGGGUCUGUAGGUUGUUGGUUAAGUCUAUGGUCAAAUUCCGAAGCUCAACUUCGGGCCGGCACUAGAAACUAAUCAACUUGAGUACGUUAGAGGCAGGGGGAAUUCCCAGUGUAGCGGUGAAAUGCGUAAAUAUUUGGAGGAACACCAGUGGCGAAGGCGGCUCACUGGCUCGAUGCUGACGCUGAGGUGCGAAAGUGUGGGGAGCAAACAGGAUUAGAUA